rnacentral:rRNA from 1 species
AUUGAACGCUGGCGGCAGGCCUAACACAUGCAAGUCGAACGGUAGCACAGAGAGCUUGCUCUCGGGUGACGAGUGGCGGACGGGUGAGUAAUGUCUGGGAAACUGCCCGAUGGAGGGGGAUAACUACUGGAAACGGUAGCUAAUACCGCAUAACGUCGCAAGACCAAAGUGGGGGACCUUCGGGCCUCACACCAUCGGAUGUGCCCAGAUGGGAUUAGCUAGUCGGUGGGGUAAUGGCUCACCUAGGUGACGAUCCCUAGCUGGUCUGAGAGGAUGACCAGCCACACUGGAACUGAGACACGGUCCAGACUCCUACGGGAGGCAGCAGUGGGGAAUAUUGCACAAUGGGCGCAAGCCUGAUGCAGCCACGCCGCGUGUAUGAAGAAGGCCUUCGGGUUGUAAAGUACUUUCAGCGGGGAGGAAGGCGGUGAAGUUAAUAGCUUCACCGAUUGACGUUACCCGCAGAAGAAGCACCGGCUAACUCCGUGCCAGCCGCCGCGGUAA